rnacentral:pre_miRNA from 1 species
GGCCCAAAUCUGAAAUAGAGUGGAUUAGGAGGAACAUCCGACCCUACUAAACUACACUACUUCGAGUUUGUGCCC